GAUCAUGGCUCAGGAUGAACGCUAGCUACAGGCUAACACAUGCAAGUCGAGGGCAGCAUGAUCUUAGCCUGCUAAGAUUGAUGGCGACCGGCGCACGGGUGAGUAACGCGUAUCCAACCUUCCCCUUAGUAGGGCAUAGCCCGUAGAAAUGCGGAUUAAUACCCUAUGUUUUCCGAUGAUGGCAUCUGAGUUGGAAUAAAGGUUUACCGCUAAGGGAUGGGGAUGCGUCCGAUUAGGCAGCAGGCGGGGUAACGGCCCACCUGGCCUACGAUCGGUAGGGGUUCUGAGAGGAAGGUCCCCCACAUUGGAACUGAGACACGGUCCAAACUCCUACGGGAGGCAGCAGUGAGGAAUAUUGGUCAAUGGUCGAGAGACUGAACCAGCCAAGUAGCGUGCAGGACGACGGCCCUAUGGGUUGUAAACUGCUUUUAUGCGGGGAUAAAGUGACGUACGUGUACGUUUUUGCAGGUACCGCAUGAAUAAGGACCGGCUAAUUCCGUGCCAGCCGCCGC
rnacentral:rRNA from 1 species